rnacentral:lncRNA from 10 species
GUAAGUCUGUCAAGGGCAACAAGGGGGUUAGUGGUAAAGGAAGGGGAUGAAGAGGACACGCAUGAGUGCAUGAUGCCUCAGAGCCAACAUGUGGCAAUGUUACUGGAUGAUGUGGCACAUCUGUUUGCAAGCUGUGUAUGCUUCAGAAUUGAGCAAAUAGGUGUAGCAAAAGGUCAAGAACAGCAAAUAGAAUCCAUCUUCCUUACCAAUUCCAGUAGUCUGUAUUGCAGUCUGCUAUAUCAAUUUCCCCCAGUGGAUCAACUCUCCUGGUAUUGACACCAUUGUGUAACCACCUCCCCUUGAAGCUGGGCUGUUCCUCUGAUUUGCUUUAACCAGUAGAAGGUGGAAGAAGUGGAGUUGUGCCAGUUCUGGCCUAAACCUUAAGAGGUCCUGGAAGUCUGCUUUCUGCUCUUGGGAGCCCUGAGCUGCCACAGAAGAAAUCUGUUUGCUGUGCUACAGCGACCAUGUGGAGAGGCCAUGUGGAGAGGGAGGGAACCUGCGACUCCAUGAAGGAGAACUGAAGAUCCAGCCACCAAUGAGAACUGAGGAUCCAGACACAGGACCACAGGCACAAAGGCUUCUGCUCUAGAACUCCCUUCUUCUUACUCCUGAAAUGUUGGAUGAUGCUAUGGGAAACAGAUGAGUUUGUCCAGGGAACCAUGUGGAGUACGAACAGAGGGAAGGCAAGAAAGGAACUCGUCAAACGGAUCGAAGAUAAGAGAUGGAUGGGCCCGGGACAUCUUCCCCAGUGGCUCUUGUCCACGGGACACCUGGCUUGUACCCACAGAAAGUUGGCUUCCAGCCAUGCUUGAGUGAGAACAGUGAGGGCCCUUGCCUUCCUACAGUGAGUAGUCUCUGACAGAAGAAUACAGUUCAUCAAAAGUGUCUGCAGGUUGUCAAACUCAGAGAGGUUUGGGGACCCUCUGAGGCUGUCGUGGUCAACAAGAAGAUUUUCUGUUGGGCUUUUCCAUCACUCACCCUGAGGAAAUAAUCACUCACUACAUUCUGCAUGUUCUCAUGAUAGAGUUCUCCAUUUGAGAGAAAAGAGCCAUUUUAUCAAAGGACAAUAUAGCCCUUCUCUGGGUCCACGUAGCUUCCAUUAUCAGACCAUAAUAAAUCAUAUUUAUGUUCCCAGUUAAUAAGACUGAUUACAACACAGGUUCCAGACAUGGGAAAAGCAAAGCAGGUGAAAAGAUGUUUUAAUGAAAAUAUGAUAAGAAAACAGCUUCUUGUGAACAUUCUGUGCUAUUAUUUGUAAUGAUUACAGACAAUUUUUGAUGCAUCUUGUUUAGCAAUGGUUUAAGCUGCAUAAAUUGGCUCACUGGUAGAUAAGUAAAAAUGAUAAGAAAAAAUCAUGAAAUCUUCUUAUGUUGUCUAGAAUCAUUAUGUACAUAACAAGGGCAAAAUGGGUUUAAUGUAUAUGCUGGGGAUGGAGGGGAAACAGGCUUCUCAGAAAAGCAUGGCUUGGGUAUUAUUUGAAAUGAUUUAGAAAUUUUCUCCUCAUCUUGCUUAUUAAAGAUGUGUUCUCCCUGAAAUUUGGGGGUGCUAGGCAUUAAUUUCAUCUUUGUAAAUGAAUCUACAGCUCUACUUCUUUUAUCCAAUCUCAAAGUUGUUGUUUUUUUUUCUUGCUUUCUUUUUUUCCCUUCUUGGACCUCAGUACAAAGAGACAAAGAGAUAUAUAUUUCCUACUCAAUGUUUGUGCACACUUGCCAUUAGUGCUAAUGGGAAUUAAGUGCCUGCUUGGGAGGAAAACAGACCCCAAAGUUUAAUAUUGGAAGCUACCUUAUUAAGAAGGUCUGGACAUUUUUAGCUUCAGUGAGUUCAAUUACAUUAAAGUACCAACUUUCUAAAUUAGUACAAAAAAAAGAAAAAAUCAUAUAAAAUAUUGAAAUAGCUUCAGCCUUUAACUGUAUAAAACAGAAGAAGAGCAUCUGAAGGCGAGGACUCAGGGUGUGUCGUAUGGCUUGUUUGUUCAUAUUAAUUUACCAGUUUGAUAGUGUAACACAUAACAAUUUCAGGUUAGCACCCAGCACUUGGAGUAAUUCUUUCCACUGUUCGUUUGUGGCUUUGAUGAGAAUUUUGUUGUCCUUGGCUUUGGGGUUUCUAAAAAGGCAAAUGAAGCUUCCUGGAGUCCAUGUUAUUCUGAGAGUGGCAAUCUGAAAUUUUAGAUUAGCACAAUUCAGAUUCAGCAAGUGGUUGGGAUAUUUUAUUUAUUUUGGAUGGGGAGUGCAGGGGUGGUUGGUAUCUUUCUCACAUAUACAUGUAGGCCUCACAGUGUGCACCUGUGAGGGAUUCCUUAAUAAUCUGCCCGUGGAAUAACCAUUGUUAUGAACUGAAGAAGAGAGUAUUCUCCAUAAUACAAUUGUCAUGGCUGUACUGCUAGAAAGGCACAGGGAUGGCAUUGCAAACCCUUCUUGCCAAAAGAAAACACCACUCAAUAUCUCCCAGACAAUUUUGCUCAGAGAUUCUUGGAUUCUACUUUUUCUAAGGCAGUUUGCACUAAAGUUAAAUAUUGGGAGAGUGGAUGAGAUUCAGUCCCCUCCUCCUAGAUCAUUGCUUUCUUUGUUGGCAAUUUCUCUUUGUUCUAUUUUAACAUGAAUAAAAGAGGGGAAGGGCGAUUGGCCCCACGUCAUUCACAUUGUCUGUUUUCCAUGGAAAUAACUGUCAGGACUUCUACUGCAUCUUCCUUUGCUUUUUAGCUUGCGCUCCAUUUUUCUUUUCAUAGGUUGACCAAAAAAUAUUGCCUGCAAGAGAAUUCCGUAAUGCCACCAUAUAUCUAAUAUCUAUGAGGCGUUUUGUUUUAGCGUUACUGGACUUAACCACAAAAGGCAUUUGACAUUGAUAAAGAAUCUGUCAAGUCUACCCUGAUCAGUGCACUGAAAUCACUCAUGACAGGGAAGACACCAACUCCCCAAAGCAGUGGUAGAUUAGGGGAAAAAUGAUCAGAAGCUUUGUCAUUGUGAAGCCAUCUCAUGUUGGACCCUACACUGAGCCAAAUGUGUUUUACUUGUCACACUCCAUUAGCAUGUGUGAAACAGUUGGGAAAAUGGCCAUAUGAUUAGACAGAAGGAAACCCAAAUUCUUCAUAUCGGGACUUGUUACCACUGAAUAAUGUCUUUGCAGGAGGGAUUGGUUUAGAUUUUGUUAAUUUCUUGUGUGAUGAAAAAUAAAUGGCAUUUAUGGAUAGACUCUACAAAAGUUGACCACAAACAGUCCCUCUAAAUCUCCCCUGUGUUAAACAUUUAUAAAAGAAGAUGUGUUGAAAUCCACAAUUUUACUGGCAAAACGGUCACUGAUAUCAGACUCCUAAAAUUUGCUCCCUCAACACCUCCUCACCAUGGGCACCAGGAGAUUACAUUUGCCCAGAGCUGAGCAUCUUUCUAUGGCUAAGAAAAAGCAGAGGACUGGUGUCAGAUGAGGACUUCCCUCUGGAGUAAUUCUUACCUGAACAAAAUCCGAAUUUAUGUAGAUAUUUUCUGCUAAAAAAUUGUUGUUGUUGCUUUGUUUGUGUUGAGAGAGAAUGUCAGUGAAAAGAUGACUUUAAGGAUGAGAAGAUAAGAAAGACUUGGAUACAAAGGAAAUUCCAGUAAUGCUUAAAACACCAUGACCUCAGCACUGUAAGGAAAGGACAGAGUAGGCGGUAUUUUCCUCUUGGGGCCAAUCUGUUGAAAACUCACAUAGAAUGAAAGAAAAUCUAUUAUGGGAAAGAAAGAUAGCUUUCUUGAAUACUGCCUGUAUAAUUACAUAUGUAUGAGUGUUACAAUUCCUGAGAAUGAAAUCUCAUUCCAC